AUGAACGCUGGCGGCGUGCCUAAUACAUGCAAGUCGAGCGAACAGACGAGGAGCUUGCUCCUCUGACGUUAGCGGCGGACGGGUGAGUAACACGUGGAUAACCUACCUAUAAGACUGGGAUAACUUCGGGAAACCGGAGCUAAUACCGGAUAAUAUAUUGAACCGCAUGGUUCAAUAGUGAAAGACGGUUUUGCUGUCAUUUAUAGAUGGAUCCGCGCCGCAUUAGCUAGUUGGUAAGGUAACGGCUUACCAAGGCAACGAUGCGUAGCCGACCUGAGAGGGUGAUCGGCCACACUGGAACUGAGACACGGUCCAGACUCCUACGGGAGGCAGCAGUAGGGAAUCUUCCGCAAUGGGCGAAAGCCUGACGGAGCAACGCCGCGUGAGUGAUGAAGGUCUUCGGAUCGUAAAACUCUGUUAUUAGGGAAGAACAAAUGUGUAAGUAACUAUGCACGUUUUGACGGUACCUAAUCAGAAAGCCACGGCUAACUACGUG
rnacentral:rRNA from 1 species